rnacentral:tRNA from 1 species
GCCUGGAUGGCUCAGUUGGUAGAGUAUGUGACUCUUGGUCUCAGCAUUGUGAGUUCAAGUCCUGCGCUGGGCA